UGAUUUUAAUGUCGCAGAUAAACUAGAAAGAUGUCAUUUCUUUGACCUCUAUACCAACGACAAGUUCUUAGUACAGAGGAAAAGGUUAAAACGGCAUCAUGUCAUUUAUCCUAUACCGACAAACAUGUCAUCAGUAUAGGGUUUAUCUUCUUCAGUUACCGUACUCGUUGCCAUUCACAGUAGCCGAACUCCCCUAAUUCUCUCUCGGCGAAGCGGUGACUCCAACACAUUCCACCUUAUUUUAACCGGUAAUAUGUUUAUUGCUUCGGGUUUAUGUUGAUUUCUAAUGCUUUAGGGAGGUUUUUUGAAGUUUUUUGAGGUUUUUGGGUUGAAUUUUGUAGGAAGAUUUGAGUUUUUUUUUCUAGACCAACCAUCACCUCCAUUAUCGACAACCGUCGAUUCUGUACAUUCACCGGAGGUAAGUAAUUCUAGUCCUGAUUUUUUUAUUUUUUUCUCUCUUUUUUUCAUUUUGGUUGUAUGAAACUGAUUCUAGGUAUAAUUUGUUUGUAUGAAACUGAUUUUGAUCAUGUUUUAUGAUUAAGGUUCAUGAUUUUAGGUAUAAUUUAUUUUUAUUUUGUGUUUAGAUGUGUUGUAUGAAAGUGGUUUUUAUGAUUGAAGGAAAGUGGAAUUGGAUGCCUAAAA